CCUACGGGUGGCAGCAGUGGGGAAUAUUGCACAAUGGGGGGAACCCUGAUGCAGCGACGCCGCGUGGGUGAAGGAUCACCUCGGUGCGUAAAGCCCUAUCUGCAUGGAAGAAAAGCGAACAGGUUCGCCUGGACGGUACCUGACUAAGCAGCCCCGGCUAACUACGUGCCAGCAGCCGCGGUAAUACGUAGGGGGCAAGCGUUAUCCGGAUUUCCUGGUGGGAAAGGGAGCGUAGACGGCGGCGCAAUGUUGGAGGGAAAGCCCUGGGCCCAACCCCGGGACUGCUCUGGAAACUGCGGCGCUGGAGUACGGGAGGGGCAGGCGGAAUGCCUGGUGUAGCGGUGAAAUGCGUAGAUAUCAGGAGGAACACCGGCGGCGAAGGCGGCCUGCUGGACCGUGACUGACGUUGAGGCUCGAGAGCGUGGGGAGCAAACAGGAUUAGAUACCCGGGUAGUC
rnacentral:rRNA from 1 species